UAAUGUUUGUAUUCACUACAAAUUACUGCUGUAGAUUAAUAAUAACUAUAAACAAAAUGGUUGCCAUGACAACAAAUUACAUGUGUAAAUGGAGCAGUCAGCAGUUACUUAACAAGUUGAUAAAUGUGUUGAAAAGUUAAUGAAAAGUUAUUAGUGAUAGAAACAUGGAAAGUGAACAUGAAGAAAAAUGUACUGAAGAAUUAAAGAAUACAAUAAAAUUAUGUAACCAGGAAAUUCAGUUUGAAAGAAUGCCGACCCUAGAAGAACUAGCAAAUCAUAUAAAAAAAGAAGUGGAUGAUGAAUUGAUUGAAAAAUAUAACAAAACAAAUAAUGCAGUUGAUUCUAUAUGUAAGAUCGAAGGGAAAAGAAAACAGGCAGUACCUGACACAACUUCUGAUUUACAUAGUCCAAUAAUGAAAAGAAGCAAACCAAAUGAUCAUGAUUCACCAGUUAAAGAAGCUACUGAACUAAAACCAUAUAACUCUGAAUUAUUUAUAUUUACAAAAAGAUUAGAUGACAUGUAUAUUUUUAAAAAUGAUUUAAAUAGACUUAACCGGUCACAUAUAUGGGAAGAGAUAUCAAGAGAAAGUAAGCCAAUCUUAUCACAGUACAAACACAACGUCACUACCCAAACAGUACUUAAAUAUAAAAACUUACAUAAAUUGUAUAAUGAUUUAAAAAUAAUCAAUGAUAAAAACACUUUCAAAGUAUUUGAUGAUAAAAAUGUAUGUCAUACUAAAGCAGAGAAUAACGAAAUGACUGAUUUUAGUACAAAU